rnacentral:rRNA from 1 species
AGAGUUUGAUCAUGGCUCAGAUUGAACGCUGGCGGCAGGCUUAACACAUGCAAGUCGAGCGGUAACAGGAGAAGCUUGCUUCUCGCUGACGAGCGGCGGACGGGUGAGUAAUACUUAGGAAUCUACCUAGUAGUGGGGGAUAGCACGGGGAAACUCGUAUUAAUACCGCAUACGACCUACGGGAGAAAGGGGGCAGUUUACUGCUCUCACUAUUAGAUGAGCCUAAGUCGGAUUAGCUAGAUGGUGGGGUAAAGGCCUACCAUGGCGACGAUCUGUAGCUGGUCUGAGAGGAUGAUCAGCCACACCGGGACUGAGACACGGCCCGGACUCCUACGGGAGGCAGCAGUGGGGAAUAUUGGACAAUGGGGGAAACCCUGAUCCAGCCAUGCCGCGUGUGCGAAGAAGGCCUUUUGGUUGUAAAGCACUUUAAGCAGUGAAGAAGACUCCAUGGUUAAUACCCAUGGACGAUGACAUUAGCUGCAGAAUAAGCACCGGCUAACUCUGUGCCAGCAGCCGCGGUAAUACAGAGGGUGCAAGCGUUAAUCGGAAUUACUGGGCGUAAAGGGAGCGUAGGUGGCUCUAUAAGUCAGAUGUGAAAUCCCCGGGCUUAACCUGGGAACUGCAUCUGAAACUGUAGAGCUAGAGUAUGUGAGAGGAAGGUAGAAUUCCAGGUGUAGCGGUGAAAUGCGUAGAGAUCUGGAGGAAUACCGAUGGCGAAGGCAGCCUUCUGGCAUAAUACUGACACUGAGGCUCGAAAGCGUGGGUAGCAAACAGGAUUAGAUACCCUGGUAGUCCACGCCGUAAACGAUGUCUACUAGUCGUUGGGUCCCUUGAGGACUUAGUGACGCAGCUAACGCAAUAAGUAGACCGCCUGGGGAGUACGGGCCGCAAGGUUAAAACUCAAAUGAAUUGACGGGGGCCCGCACAAGCGG